rnacentral:ncRNA from 1 species
CCCCUUGACGUGUCGGGGUCAUGGCACGUCUCCUCCCUGUUGGACUGGCCCGGGCUUCGCGCCCGGGCCUUUUU